rnacentral:lncRNA from 1 species
AGAGCUGAUCAAGGGAACCUCAACAAACAACCCCAGCCAUGGAGGCGGCGGUGUCUUUGAAGACCCCAUGAGAGCAUCAAACAAGGGAGAGAGCCUGGAACAAAUCAUGGUAGUAAAAUGGCGGCAGAGAGCUAGUAAUGUGUCUGCAAUUGGUGGGUUCUUGGUCGCACUGACUUCAAGAAUGAAGCCGCGGACCCUCACGGCUACUCCUGACUGACCAUCACAUAAAAGAAUACAAAACAAUCUGAAAGUCAACCAAGGAAAUAGUAAUCAAGAAUAAUUCUGAAUAGACGUAAUUUCUACUUUAUGCAUGACUGUAAACCUUAACUUCACUGAACUAGACCAGUUAUACGGCAAACACCGGGAUACGAAA